rnacentral:tRNA from 1 species
GGUGCAUUAGCUCAGUUGGUAGAGCUGGACGCUCUUAACGUCUAGGUCGGGGGUUCAAGUCCCUCAUGCAUCAC